ACACGUGUACCGACAAUUGUCGGUGUCGUUAACGCUCCCUACCGACAUUUGUCGGUUAGAGCUAUUCUGUACAGCUCCUCACCGACGCGCGUCGUUAAAAAUGAACGACAAGUAUCGGUCAUAAACGAUAAUCCUACCAGGGGAUCCCUUGGCCAUCGGUAGCGCUUGACCGACGCACACGGACGAGAUUAUCGUCGGUUCAUGUGAUUAUGUUAGUGAAUUCGCGAUUUGAGGUAGUGAUACUGCACACAUUGCGAUUUCACAUAUUUAUAAAAUUUUUGGUUAGUUUAUUACGUUUCUGUUGGUGUAAAAUAUAAUAGUGUGUGUGUGCUGUAAAUUGUAAUCCAAAAAUGUGCAAUAUGGCUGAAUACCUCAUGUGGGAUCUUUUAUACCUUGAGAAUCGCGUGAGAAUGCUACAACGUCGAAUAGGAAGAAGAGUCUGGCGUGAUACUAAUAAUCCAUUCGAGUUACACGAUAAUGUUUUCAUUAAUUUAUUUCGCUUGCCACCUGACACUGUGUUGGAAUUAGCAGAGAUCUUAAGACCAAGGUAUUAAUAGCUUUAAGAUUUUAUGCUGUUGGCUGCUACCAAGGUGCCAUUAGGGAACAAUGGAAUCUGGCUGUCAGUCAAUCGACUGUAAGCCGUUGUGUAGCAGUCGUGACAAAAGGAAUAAACGACCUAUUACUAUGACCAUGGGUAAAAUUUCCUAUUACAGCGGAGGAUCGACAAGCUGCAAGAGAAAAGUUCCGCACAGCACAACAUCUGUUUAUAGGUGCUAUCGGUGCAAUAGAUUGCACUUAUGUAUCGAUUCUGGCACCGCAACUUCAUGAAGAAGUCUACGUCAAUCACUGGGGUGAUCACUGUCUCAAUGUUCAAGCGAUUUGUGACCCUGAUUUAAAAAUUCUAAACAUUAAUGCUCGAUAUCCUGGGGCACGACAUGAUGCAUAUAUUUGGGCAAAUUGUGCUACUCUUCGUGUCAUGGAAUGAUGGUAUAUGCAAGGAGAACGCAAGACUUGGCUUAUCGAUGAUGGGUAUGGAUUGGAGCCGUGGUUAAUGACUCCAUUGAAACGAGCAGCUAGGAACUCCACGUUUUAAUUAUAAUGAAGAAUUAUGCAGUAACAUUGUUACAUUAAAUAUGUACAAUAUACAAUGUAAAGAGCGGGUCUGUGGGAUUUGAUAAAGGGGAUCUUCGUCAUCCAUCUCAAGUCGUUCAAUAUUUUCCUACAACAAACAAUUAUUAUAACGUAAAUUGUUUCUUUAUACACUACGCGUUGUUCAAUGUUCUGCAAUGGGGCUUCUUCAGCUGGAAAAUUGCCUGUGCGUAAGCGCUCAGCUCUUAACUUGCUUGCUUUCCUCGAAGAAAUGCUCUUCAGAUCCCGCCAUACCUAAUGUAUUAAAUAUAAUAAUGUAAUAUGCAAAUCCCAAUCAAAUGUAUCCCAGUAAACUAGUCAUAUAACAGAAAAGCAAUUAUAUAACAUUGAUAUUAGAAUGUCAGCUGAAUAAGGGAGAACAUUACAUAAAAUUUAUUUAACAUGUAUCAAGAUAUUGGGGUUUACUACGAAAUGUAUACAUGUCCGGAAAUCAAGGUGGGAAAGUAAUU
rnacentral:lncRNA from 1 species